UCCCAGCUGCAGCCGCAGCUACCCACCAACACUAUGUUCCCUUCUUCCACCAGCGGCAUCUAAUCAUUUUUCAUUUCACAUCUUAGAAGAUUGUGAGUAGAAAUAAGAUUACUUGUUACAUUCCCUAUCAUCUCAAAUCAAACAAACCAAAUACUGCAAUUUGUGAGCUUGGAGUUUAACUACAUAUAGCUUCAUUGGAGAAAUCUGAUGCUAGUCCUUGAUCAUGAUGAUUUUAAUUUCUUGUCUUCAUCUACAAUCUGCUUUCUUUGGUGGUUUAUUGGUGAAGACAUUGUUUUAUUUUUCUAUGUCAACUUCGACUCAAGUGUGAUUUCUUUGAUUAAAAAAGUGAGAAAUUCCAACAUAACGGGCUGUUCAGAAGGAGGGUGGUAUAAACACGGAAGCGCCUGCUAUGCCUUGGACUAUGACUUAACAGUAAACAUGCAACUCUGCAAUGGUGAAUACAUGUACCCUAAAAAGGUUAUUGCUGCUACGUGCCAUGGAAAAAAGCCUCUCAUUGUUGGCGCGUUAGCCUCUCCCCCAUAUUCGGUACUUUUGAAAUUCGGAGAUGAGAACUGGAAGGUGAUCCCCGACAUGUCAGCGAAUUUCGGAGACAUAUGCCUUUUUAAAGGGCGGCCUUACGCAGUUGACAAAAUUAUAGUAUAUUUUAUGACUCAAUGCAUCUGCUAUUCAAGUCUUUUUACCACUGAUAGUGUAACAAAUUUUUAUUGCAAUGUAAGAGAAAACCUAGAUACACAUUGUCUUGAUGCCUCAUCAAUUCAAGCAGUAAACGAUCUUAGUACAAUUUAAUUUUUUUUUUUUCCAAUUGGAUGAUUCAAUAUUUUGUAACAUAUAUAAACAACUUGAUUUAUUCUUGAGAUAUUUCAAUCUUUUUCUCUGUUAAAUUGUAGUUUAAAGAAUGAGAUGUCUAGAAUUUGAUGCAUUUGUCAAUCAUGCCACAUGAUAAAAGCUUGUGCGAAUUUCCCCAGUUUUAAAUGUUUUCCAAGAGAUUGAAUUUAAUUUAUAGGUAUGCGUUGUGGGAUUUGAAGUAAGUAAAGUAAUUUAGAAUAAUUACAGAUUUAUUUACAAAUCUUGCAUUCAGGAUGUCUAAUAUUUUAAAUAUAUUUGAUGGAAGUAUCAAAUGAUUAUGUUAAGGCUAAUGCUUGUUGGUGCGAAAAAUAUAGCAACGAAUUUCGACGAAAGACUACCAGCCUAUGUAAUACACCCAAACAUUCAAACCGAGCAUUAUUUCAACACAUAUCGCAGGAUCAUACGGUAUGUAAACUAUGCUAAGAAAAACCGGGUUGAUGCCUAUGGACCGUCUUAUUAUUUAUCAAGAUAUUGCAACACCUGGACACUUCCAACUGUCUAAAUCUGUCACACACCGGCAUCAGCAAAGGGAGCAAAUUCACUCAUCAGAUUCUGAUUUCUGUCAUCAUUCAUAGCAUAUGGCAAAUUUGGAUCCAACAUAACAAUCGGUAUUUUCAAGACAAGGAAUUCAAUAUCCCCAACAUGGUCAAAAACAUCAUUGCAGAAGUUAAGUUUAGCUCCUCUCUGAUGUCUGGAGCUAGUGGCUCCUCCUCUCUAACUUCAAAGUUUGAUUUUCGUUCUAGAUUUCUUCGCAUUCUAGCAGGCAGGUGCACAGAUAGUUUUAUGGCUCACCCUCUUGUGGGGCUAUUGUAACACCUCGUUUUCCCAACAUGUAAAUAAUACAAAUAAUCAGAGUUUCACCACAACAGGAUGUCACAUUUCGUUCUUGAAAAA